GGCGAACGCUGGCGGCGUGCUUAACACAUGCAAGUCGAACGGUAAGGCCCUUCGGGGUACACGAGUGGCGAACGGGUGAGUAACACGUGGGUGAUCUGCCCUGCACUUCGGGAUAAGCCUGGGAAACUGGGUCUAAUACCGGAUAGGACCACUGCCUGCAUGGGUGGGGGUGGAAAGCUUUUGUGGUGUGGGAUGGGCCCGCGGCCUAUCAGCUUGUUGGUGGGGUGAUGGCCUACCAAGGCGACGACGGGUAGCCGGCCUGAGAGGGUGACCGGCCACACUGGGACUGAGAUACGGCCCAGACUCCUACGGGAGGCAGCAGUGGGGAAUAUUGCACAAUGGGCGCAAGCCUGAUGCAGCGACGCCGCGUGAGGGAUGACGGCCUUCGGGUUGUAAACCUCUUUCAGCACCGACGAAGCGCAAGUGACGGUAGGUGCAGAAGAAGGACCGGCCAACUACGUGCCAGCAGCCGCCGCGG
rnacentral:rRNA from 1 species